ensembl:lincRNA 1700022A22Rik RIKEN cDNA 1700022A22 gene
GGUGGUAUCUGCUCCACAUGCCCUACAGAACAUGGUUUGCUGGCCACCCUACUGGUGGCUUACCAGUGUUCAUAUGGCCCACUAUCUGACUCUGUUGACACUUUCCAGGCCACCAGGAAGCCAGGGCAGUGGCCUUGAGAGUUGCCCCAGUGAUGGUGGUCCAAGGCCCAAGAUCACCAGGACCCAAGCUCUUGUACUCUGUUGAAGAUCUGGCAUUCAUCUCAAGAGACCCCAACAACCGCUUUGAUCCAGAAAAAGAACCCUGGUAUGUACCAUCAGGAAAGAUGAUUCUACCACAAGAACAUGUGUGACAAUGAUAAGACAAAUGCAUCAAUGGACCUACCUAAGGAUAUCAAGUUAACUCAAACUGCCUUAAGAUCUAAGUAUUAUGUUCCAGGACUGAAACAACCUGGUGGAACAAAUAGUUCACAGUUGUAUUCCCUGCCAAAAGGUAAAUGCUUGCAGAAGCAAAGCUGACCCCAGUAAGAGACCUCAGGGAGAUAAGCCAGGAGCCUACUGGGAAGUGGAUUUCACCGAGAUAAAACCAGUCAAGAAUUUUAAUCUGAAAUAUUCACAGAAGUGUGCCAGGAAUUUGAAAAUAUUUCAUCACUGAGUGACAUAUUUCUCCAAUAGAAGGCUAUAUAAGCCAGAGGAGUUGACAGGAACAGAAGCCAAUUACAAAUAAAAUUACUGAGAACAUAGUACCUAGAAGCCACAACUGUUGUCAUUUGGUUUCCUGGGAGGUCUGUGGCCAUAGCUAUUGCAGACCUCCUGUAAGGCCUUCAGACUCUGAUGUCUUCAGAG